AAGGGACUGACCUCUGGGUCCCUUCGGUGCUCCGGGCUCGCCCUCCGUCUGACCCCGGCGGCCCAGGUGGAUCGCCCCCAUUGACAUAGAUUCGUUCCAGGGGCCCGGGGUUUGGCUACCCCUCCUCUGUUCCGGGCCAGCUUGGGGAGAGAUAAGCCUCCUAGAAGCCUUUGUUCUAGCUCCCAGCUGGGUAAACCGGCAGCGGCCUCAGUUAUUGCCACCUUUGCCGUCCUCCCUCCCCCUCCCGCGCACACAUACAUUCUGUCCCCGGGUUCCCAGUACCCCCUCCCACACUUCUUCAGUUACCCCCUUCCUCGCCCUCCCCCCACUCUCCAGCUGAGACGACCUCGGAGAGUGCACCCUUUGUCCUUCUCCGUCUCCGGACGGGACAUUUUUUAUAUUCUAGCCUCCGAUGUGGACUCGAGCCCCGAGAUUGUGUUGGCCGUCAGAUAUAUUCUAGGGAUCCUGGAAAGAAAGGAGGAAGCGACAAAGAUCCCUCUAGUGGAAUCCAAAGCUACACUUCCUCGACAAAGACGAAAUAAAACUCACUCAGGAAUCGCUGAGUUGGGUCACUCUCCUCCAGCAGCCGAGUAACUGCCAGCUCGGGAUCAGUACAACUCCCGGAUUCCAUAUUACCUCAAAGCACCUUUGGACCCUGAGGCCAGUGUAAGUAAGAGUGCUUCUUCCCCAGCCCUUUCUCACAUCUCUCUCCCAAUACCCCUCCUCUCCUGGAUCCUAGAUGGAUCCUCUCUAGUUUUGGUUGCGAUUGGUUUUCUGGAAGGAGCGAGGGGUCAUAAUGAGCUGCUGGAGAAGAUAUUAAUCUCACCCCAACCCUGUAGGUAGAUGAGUCUUUG
rnacentral:lncRNA from 1 species